ensembl:lncRNA
CAAAAUACUAAACGUUCAAGUUGAGAUGAGUACACGAGAGAUGGGUAGAUAGAUAUAAUAAAGAAGAUGCCACAGGAGAGUAACUAGAUUAAUUCAGUAAUAAAUUACAGUGCAGUAUGAUAAUAAAAAUCCCUUCUCCAGCUUCAGAAGUACUCUGCUUGCACAGCUGAUGGACGAGUUGUGUUCAAAUAGUCCAGUUUCUCUGGAAACGCCAUGGGCCCAAACAUGGAAAGAGCUACAUCACAAACACAUCACAGACUAUUUAUAAAGACAGCUAUUACCCCAGGGACUUGGCAUGCCUUCGGUGACCCUUUCCUACAAAAACACCCAUGGCCCUUGUGUGCUUGUGCCAAGAACUGACAGUAACAGAGAGAAGGAACACAUUUCAGCCCUUCUUGAGCAGGACUGAAGAUCCGCACUUCCAUCUAAGGGCCGCAAGCCUCAGAUAAUUCAAACACAUCUUCUCCGUGAGAGGAGGAUGGCUUUAACGCAAUAAACCUAACUCUUUAUUGUCAUAAAGCUUUGGCAUUUGCAAUGUGUGCUGCAUUGACAUUUCUGU